AAUAAACCAAUCUUUUACAUUUUACCUACCAUGUUUGACUAUUCGUCCUAUUUAUUUUUUUACGAUUAACAUUUUGGUUUUUAUUAGAUGAUAAAUUAUGAAUAGUAUUUUACGUGUGAUAAUUUUUUUUAUUUUUUAAAAAAGUUUCUAAUAAGAUGAAUGGUCAAACGCUGGACACAGAUGAUCAAAAGUUUGCCUUAUU
rnacentral:pre_miRNA from 1 species